rnacentral:tRNA from 4 species
GGGGGUAUAGCUCAGCUGGGAGAGCAUCUGCCUUACAAGCAGAGGGUCACAGGUUCGAGCCCUGUUGUCCCCACCA